rnacentral:rRNA from 1 species
UACGGAGGGGGCAAGCGUUGUUCGGAAUUACUGGGCGUAAAGGGCUCGUAGGCGGCGAACUAAGUCAGACGUGAAAUCCCUCGGCUUAACCGGGGAACUGCGUCUGAUACUGGAUGGCUUGAGAUUGGGAGAGGGAUGCGGAAUUCCAGGUGUAGCGGUGAAAUGCGUAGAUAUCUGGAGGAACACCGGUGGCGAAGGCGACAUCCUGGACCAAUACUGACGCUGAGGAGCGAAAGCCAGGGGAGCAAACGGG